rnacentral:rRNA from 1 species
GGCGAACGGGUGAGUAACACGUGAGAAACCUGCCCCAAAGUCUGGGAUAACCCGGGGAAACCCGAGCUAAUACCGGAUACCUUCCUUCGGUCGCAUGGCCGGUUGAAGAAAGUCUUUUCGCUUUGGGAGGGUCUCGCGGCCUAUCAGUUUGUUGGUGGGGUAACGGCCUACCAAGACAUCGACGGGUAGCUGGUCUGAGAGGACGAUCAGCCACACUGGGACUGAGACACGGCCCAGACUCCUACGGGAGGCAGCAGUGGGGAAUCUUGCGCAAUGGGCGAAAGCCUGACGCAGCAACGCCGCGUGCGGGAUGACGGCCUUCGGGUUGUAAACCGCUUUCAGCAGGGACGAAAUUGACGGUACCUGCAGAAGAAGCCCCGGCCAACUACGUGCCAGCAGCCGCGGUAACACGUAGGGGGCGAGCGUUGUCCGGAUUUAUUGGGCGUAAAGAGCUCGUAGGCGGCUUUGUCAGUCGGGUGUGAAACCUCCAGGCUCAACCUGGAGCCGCCACCCGAUACUGCAAUAGCUAGAGUCCGGUAGGGGAGCAUGGAACUCCUGGUGUAGCGGUGAAAUGCGCAGAUAUCAGGAAGAACACCAG